ACGAACGCUGGCGGCGUGCCUAACACAUGCAAGUCGAACGGAAAGGCCCUGCUUUUGUGGGGUGCUCGAGUGGCGAACGGGUGAGUAACACGUGAGUAACCUGCCCUUGACUUUGGGAUAACUUCAGGAAACUGGGGCUAAUACCGGAUAGGAGCUCCUGCUGCAUGGUGGGGGUUGGAAAGUUUCGGCGGUUGGGGAUGGACUCGCGGCUUAUCAGCUUGGUGGUGGGGUAGUGGCUUACCAAGGCUUUGACGGGUAGCCGGCCUGAGAUGGUAACCGGCCACAUUAGACCUGAGAUACGGCCCGGACUCGUACGGGAGGCAGGAGUGGGGAAUAUUACACAAUGGGAUGAAGCCAGAUGCAGCAACGCCGCGUGCGGGAUGACGGCCUUCGGGUUGUAAACCGCUUUCGCCUGUGACGAAGCGUGAAUGACGGUAAUGGGUAAAUAAGCACCGGCUAACUACGUG
rnacentral:rRNA from 1 species